GGCCGCAAGGUUAAAACUCAAAUGAAUUGACGGGGGCCCGCACAAGCGGUGGAGCAUGUGGUUUAAUUCGAUGCAACGCGAAGAACCUUACCUGGUCUUGACAUAGUGAGAAUCCUGCAGAGAUGCGGGAGUGCCUUCGGGAAUUCACAUACAGGUGCUGCAUGGCUGUCGUCAGCUCGUGUCGUGAGAUGUUGGGUUAAGUCCCGCAACGAGCGCAACCCUUUUCCUUAUUUGCCAGCGGGUUAAGCCGGGAACUUUAAGGAUACUGCCAGUGACAAACUGGAGGAAGGCGGGGACGACGUCAAGUCAUCAUGGCCCUUA
rnacentral:rRNA from 1 species